UCAUAUGGAUGAGCAAAGAAAGUGGUCUCUUGAGAUGGAAUCUACUCCUGGCGUAGAUGUCAUGAA
rnacentral:pre_miRNA from 1 species